rnacentral:lncRNA from 1 species
GCAGGAAAUACCUCUUUUAAGAGAGAAAAUAUAAAGAGACUUCAUUUAAGCACAAGAACAAAUACAAACGGCACUGAUCCUUUCAAUGACCAUAAAAUCAGCUGAGGAUAAGUGGCCUUGUGACUGAACUUCUCAGCAGGCUAUGGCAUCACAAGAAGUUUCUCUAUGGAAAGAAAAAAUAUGAAUGUUCAGAAACAGUGUUACAGCAGAAUCAAAG